rnacentral:rRNA from 1 species
UACGGGGGGAGCAAGCGUUGUUCGGAUUUACUGGGCGUAAAGGGCGCGUAGGCGGCUGUUCGAGUCGGGUGUGAAAUCCUGAGGCUUAACCUUGGGUCUGCAUUCGAUACUGGGCGGCUUGAGUCUGGUAGGGGGAUCUGGAAUUCCUGGUGUAGCGGUGGAAUGCGCAGAUAUCAGGAGGAACACCGGUGGCGAAGGCGGGAUCCUGGCCAGUACUGACGCUGAGGAGCGAAAGCGUGGGAGCAACAGG